rnacentral:rRNA from 1 species
AGGGCACAUGGUGGAUGCCUGGGCUCUCGGAGGCGAUGAAGGACGUGAUAAGCUGCGAAAAGCCGCGGUGAGGUGCAAAUGACCUUUGACCCGCGGAUCUCCGAAUGGGACAACCCGAUGUUCUGAAGGGACAUCAUCUGUCAAUGACAGAGGCUAACGCAGGGAACUGAAACAUCUUAGUACCUGCAGGAAAAGAAAAUAAGAAUGAUUCCCCCAGUAGUGGCGAGCGAACGGGGAAGAGCCCAAACCUCGGGUGUUACGGCACCCGAGGGGUUGUAGGACCACGACGUUGCAAGACAAAGGCGAGGGGAAGGUGCUGGAAAGCGCCGCCAUAGAGCAUGAAAGCUGCGUACCCGAAACCGAUGGAAGCAUAGUGGUAUCCUGAGUAUCGCGGGACACGAGGAAUCCUGCGAGAAUCCGCCGGGACCAUCCGGCAAGGCUAAAUACUCCCGAGAGACCGAUAGUGAACCAGUACCGUGAGGGAAAGGUGAAAAGUACCCCGCACAGGGGAGUGAAACAGACCCUGAACCCAUGUGCCUACAAGCGGUCGGAGCACCGUAAGGUGUGACGGCGUGCCUUUUGCAUAAUGAACCUACGAGUUGCCGUUGCCGGCAAGGUUAAGCGCGAUAACGCGCGUAUCCGAAGCGAAAGCGAGUCCGAAGAGGGCGUCCAGUCGGCAGUGGCAGACGCGAAACCAAGUGAUCUACCCUUGUCCAGGAUGAAGUCUGGGUAACACCAGAUGGAGGUCCGCACCAAUAAGCGUUGAAAAGCUUCUGGAUGAGAUGAGGGUAGGGGUGAAAGGCUAAUCAAACUUGGAGAUAGCUCGUACUCCCCGAAAUGCAUUUAGGUGCAGCCUGCGUGAUUACCGGCAUGAGGUAGAGCGACUGAUAAGAUGCGAGGGCUUCGCCGCCUAUCAAGUCUUGACAAACUCCGAAUGCUUGCCGGUUUGACACGUGGAGUGAGGGGCCGGGUGCUAAGGUCCGGUCCCGAGAGGAGAAGAAUCCUGACCAUCGUCUAAGGUCCCGAAAUGACGGCUGAGUUAGUCAAACGAAGUAGGAUUGCCGUGACAGCUAGGAUGUUGGCUUGGAAGCAGCCAUUCAUUUAAAGAGUGCGUAACAGCUCACUAGUCGAGGAAUCCUGCGUGGAUAAUAAUCGGGUAUAAGCCGUCUGCCGAAGACGUGGAAUCUCUUGAGAGAUUGGUAGGGGAGCAUUCCAUUCAGCGUUGAAGGCGCACCGCGAGGUGCUCUGGAGCGUAUGGAAAAGCAAAUGUAGGUAUAAGUAACGAUAAAGGGGGUGGGAUGCCCCCUCGCCGUAAGACUAAGGUUUCCUGAUCAACGCUAAUCGGAUCAGGGUAAGUCGGGUCCUAAGGCACAGCCGAACGGCGCAGCCGAUGGAAGAAACGGUCAAGAUUCCGUUACUGCCCCACGGAGUGACGCGGGGACGGAGGAGUGACAGUGCCGCCGCCUGACGGAAUAGGCGGUUGAAGGGUGUAGGCGUCGAUUGCCGCAGGCAAAUCCACGGCAAGAGCCGAACCUGACAGUAUGGGGCGUUCCCCGGAACAACCCAAUAGCGCACGUAAACAGACUCCCGAGAAAAUCCGCUAAACAUAAUCCGUGUGGCACCCGUACCGCAAACGGACACACGUAGUCGGGUAGAGCAUACCAAGGCGCUUGAGUGAAUCACGGUUAAGGAACUAGGCAAACUGACCCUGUAACUUCGGGAUAAAGGGUCCUCACAGCAAUGUGAGGCGCAGAGAAUCGGUCCAGGCAACUGUUUACCAAAAACACAGGGCUGUGCGAAUUCGCAAGAAGCAGUAUACAGCCUGACACCUGCCCGGUGCCGGAAGGUUAAGAGGAGAUGUCACCGCAAGGGAAGCAUUGAAUUGAAGCCCCGGUAAACGGCGGCCGUAACUAUAACGGUCCUAAGGUAGCGAAAUUCCUUGUCGGGUAAGUUCCGACCUGCACGAAUGGUGUAAUGAUCUGGACGCUGUCUCAACCGUGAGCUCAGUGAAAUUGUAGUAUCGGUGAAGAUGCCGAUUACCCGCGAUGGGACGAAAAGACCCCGUGAACCUUUACUAUAGCUUAGCAUUGGGGCCGGGCACGUGAUGUGUAGGAUAGGUCGGAGGCUAUGAAGUGGUGACGCCAGUCAUCGUGGAGCCGCUGUUGAAAUACGACCCUUCAUUUGUCUGGUCCCUAACGCGCUGCGCGCGGACAUUGCUUGGUGGGUAGUUUGACUGGGGUGGUCGCCUCCAAAAGCGUAACGGAGGCUUCUAAAGGUGCCCUCAGGACGAUCGGUAACCGUCCGCAGAGUGUAAUGGCAAAAGGGCGCUUGACUGUGAGACAGACAGGUCGAGCAGGUAGGAAACUAGAGCAUAGUGAUCCGGUGUUUCC